AACGAACGCUGGCGGCAGGCCUAACACAUGCAAGUCGAGCGAGGACUUCGGUCCUAGCGGCGGACGGGUGAGUAACGCGUGGGAACGUGCCCUUUGCUACGGAAUAGCCCCGGGAAACUGGGAGUAAUACCGUAUGUGCCCGAGAGGGGAAAGAUUUAUCGGCAAAGGAUCGGCCCGCGUUGGAUUAGGUAGUUGGUGGGGUAAUGGCCUACCAAGCCGACGAUCCAUAGCUGGUUUGAGAGGAUGAUCAGCCACACUGGGACUGAGACACGGCCCAGACUCCUACGGGAGGCAGCAGUGGGGAAUCUUAGACAAUGGGGGAAACCCUGAUCUAGCCAUGCCGCGUGAGCGAUGAAGGCCUUAGGGUUGUAAAGCUCUUUCAGUGGGGAAGAUAAUGACGGUACCCACAGAAGAAGCCCCGGCUAACUCCGUGCCAGCAGCCGCGGUAAUAC
rnacentral:rRNA from 1 species